rnacentral:lncRNA from 1 species
GGCCAGCCACCCGACUCUGGUUCCCUCCUGUCCUCAUGGCUUUCUCUAGCAUCCAGCUGCUGGAAUAUACAAGGCUUCCUGUGCCCUGUGGGUUUCAUAUCCAGGAAUGGCUCAAAAUAUGACCUUCCAGUUCAGCGUCUAACCCUGGCAAGAUAUCUGAAUGAUGUCAGAGAAAAGAAGCAGAUGACAAGAGAAAUCAGUAUCUGUGCCUGGCUGGAGGAAGGAAGCUUGUCAAGAUAUGCAGAGAGUUUUUACAGGAACACAGUCUUAGCUGCCUGGAAGUCAGUAUUUUGCUAGCAGCCUUCAGAUGAAGAUGUAGAACUCUCAGCUUCUCCUGCACCAUGCCAGCCUGGAUGCUGCCAUGCUCCUGCCUUGAUGAUACUGGACUGAACCUCUGAACCUGUAAGCCAGCGCCAAUUAAAUAUUGUCCUUAUAAGAGUUGCCUUGGUCAUGGUGUCUGUUCACAGCAGUAAGCCCUAACUAAGACAGUGGGGUAGCUGGGAAAGAGUGGUCUAAAUGGGAAAGGAGAUAAACUCUGCCCGUUAAUGUUUGUUGGAUGUGAUUUACUAUUGUUUGACACUGUCUUUAGGGGUUUCUUUACAUUCGCAGUGAUGGGAACAGAACCAGAAUGGGGGACGUUGCUGGGGAGAAGGACUGCAAAGGUUAAACAGGUUGAGUUGUCUGGCAGCUCCAAGAACAGGAGUUUUCUUUGGGAACUAAGACUCACUGGAGGUAGCUGAAUGCAAGCAAAUUGCCUGGCUUGUUUGUAAUGAACAAACGUGGUACCUGUGGGAUCCCUUUGAGGGGGUCACUGGACUUAUACUUCAUUCAUCAUAAUUUCCCUGGGAAAUACACACUCCUCACAAUAUCCCCUGAGCAGACAGGUAAACUCCAUCUCACCAGAGCACCACCUGGUCCAGUCACUUGCUUAAACUCUGUUGACAAUGGUUCAGCAUUCUAGUGGAAGUAAGCCUAGCCUUGAAGUGACUCCAAAUGGGACACCUGUAUUCUUCUCUUUUGCUGGUGGGAGAAACCUGUGGUCUCUGGAGGUGAGCUUGGAAAUCAGUCAGUUCUCUCUGGUCCUGAUUUGAUAGAGGACCAUCCAUCCAUUCAUUGAGCUUUUUGAUUCUUUGACUUGGAAUGUUAUGGCUUGAAUAUGAACUAUCCUGGAAGGGCUCACAUGUUGAAUACUGGAUUCCAGCAAGUGUAACUCUUUUUGGGGGAUGAGUGAUAGUAAUUAUAGGAGAUGGGGCUAGCUGGAGGAAGGAGGUCACUGGGGAGAGUGCCUCAGGUGUUAUACCUGGUACUUGGGCCCUUGUCUCUUUGCUUCUCACUUGUCACCUGAGCAGACUUUGCCACACUGACUACCACUGUGAAGUUCUGUCUGGCCACAGGACCAUAAUCAACAGAAUUAAGACUGUGAACUGGUAUCUCUGUAACCAUAAGCUAAAAUAAAGUCACUGUUCCUUACA